UCAGAAAAAAAUUAAAUUGGUGAAACAAGUUGCUUCUAAUACCCUGAAACGCAUUGGAAUUUAAAUCAGAGCAACAAGGAACGCAAGGUUGGUCCAUGCAUUUGGAUGAGGAUGGGAGAAAAUAUCUUUCCUCAGAUGUGUGAUGGUUUCAAUUGUCCAUGCUCAACUAUGAUCCGAAAACGUUGGAAAAUCCCAGAAUGCUUCAUAAGUUCCAAAUGUGUGCCCUUUCAGUAGCGAGAUGAAAUCUCCCACCAUCCUGUCCUGCAUGGGAUAUAUAGCAACAUGUUUCCUUCAUAUCUAUGCUGUGUUGCCUACUCAGUAGGUAGCCCUCUGAUUUAUUGGAUUGAUGGUGAGAGUUACCCAGUGCUUUUGCUCAAGGAACUCUUGUCAUAGUCUAAUACUCCGUAACAAUUCAUGUAACUCUCCUUACGUUAUCUCUUCAUAAAAGCAUUGUAUUGUCUCAUAUCGUAUCAUCUCAAUAUGUACUACACUGAUCCAUUAGACAGAGAGACCAUUGUAUCAGAAGAAUUUCUCAACACUGGCAAAAUGCCUGAGAGAAAGAAACUUAAAGUUCAUUUUGGCUCCUUGUUUCAAAGGGACAAGACCAUGGUUACUUAGCCAUGUGCUAGGCUAAAACAGUAUGGCAAUUAUGGCAAUGGAAAAACAUGGAGGUUGAGAGCUGAUCAACACACACACACACACACACACACACACACACACACA